rnacentral:rRNA from 1 species
UGAAUACGAGAUGCUACGGCGUCGAAGCAGUCUAUGUCAUACUUCCAAGAAAAGCUUGCACUGUCAUAAACAAAUAAUGCCUGUACCAUAACCGACACAGGUGGGUAGGUAGAGUAUACUAAGGGGCGCGAGAUAACUCUCUCUAAGGAACUCGGCAAAAUGACUCCGUAACUUCGGGAGAAGGAGUGCCUUAUUUAUAAGGUUGCAAUAACAAGAUCCAAGCAACUGUUUACCAAAAACACAGGUCUCCGCUAAGUCGUAAGACGAUGUAUGGGGGCUGACGCCUGCCCAGUGCCAGAAGGUUAAAGAAGUUGGUUAGCAUCCGCGAAGCUGAUAACUGAAGCCCUGGUGAACGGCGGCCGUAACAAUAACGGUCCUAAGGUAGCGAAAUUCCUUGUCGGGUAAGUUCCGACCCGCACGAAAGGCGUAAUGAUUUGGAUACUGUCUCGGAGAGGGGCUCGGUGAAAUAGACUUGUCUGUGAAGAUGCGGACUACCUGCACCAGGACAGAAAGACCCUAUGAAGCUUUACUGUAACCUGAAAUUGAAAUUGGACUUUACUUGCGCAGUAUAGGUGGGAGGCGUUGAGAAUAUUCUUGCGGGAUUAUUGGAGCCAUCAGUGAGAUACCACUCUUGUAAUGUUAGAUUUCUAGCUUUGUAUCAUUAUCUGGUCAAAGAACAGUUUCAGGCGGGCAGUUUGACUGGGGCGGUCGCCUCCUAAACGGUAACGGAGGCGCACAAAGGUUUCCUCUGAACGGGUAGAAAUCGUAUCUAGAGUGUAAAGGCAUAAGGAAGCUUGACUGUGAGACCUACAAGUCGAGCAGGGACGAAAGUCGGUCUUAGUGAUCUGACGGUGCUGAGUGGAAAGGCCGUCACUCAACGGAUAAAAGUUACUCUAGGAUAACAGGCUGAUCUCCCCCAAGAGUUCACAUCGACGGGGAGGUUUGGCACCUCGAUGUCGGCUCAUCGCAUCCUGGGGCGGUAGUACGUCCCAAGGGUUGGGCUGUUCGCCCAUGAAAGCGGUACGCGAGCUGGGUUCAGAACGUCGUGAGACAGUUCGGUCCAUAUCCGGUGUAGGCGUUAGAAUAUUGAGAGGAGCCUUCUUUAGUACGAGAGGACCGAGAAGGACAUACCUCUGGUGUACCAGUUAUCGUGCCAACGGUAAACGCUGGGUAGCUAUGUGUGGAGUGGAUAACCGCUGAAAGCAUCUAAGUGGGAAGCCCACCUCAAGAUAAGUAUUC